GGGGAUGAUAGGCCUCGAGGGGAAGAACUUUGAGAUGAUGUUCAGGCGCUCCGCCAUGGCGGAGCUAAAUAUCUCCCAUGGGAACAUAAUAAGUGCAAACUUAUUUGGAACCAGAGAGCCUGCCUUGGCAGUAGCUUAAUGGCAACGCUCCGACCUCGCGUCGGAGCCAUCCGUCCUUGAUUCUCGCUACGGGAUCGCGGGUGUCAUAAGCGAGAAAACUUUUUUCCUGAGAGUUAAUUCAGGAUUUCACCUAAGCUUGUCAACCAUCCCUCAAAAGCUUUCCUGACGCGGGUUCAACUCCCGCCAUCUCCACCA
rnacentral:tmRNA from 4 species